UACUGAGUUCCGCUCUAAACCCUUUGUGACAUACCUAACCGUUGCUUCGGCGGGCAGGGGAAGCCUCUCGCGGGCGACCCCUCCCGGCGCCGGCCCCAUCACGGGGGCGGAGCGCCCGCCGGAGGAAACCAAACUCUAUUUACACGACGUCUCUUCUGAGUGGCACAAGCAAAUAAUUAAAACUUUUAACAACGGAUCUCUUGGUUCUGGCAUCGAUGAAGAACGCAGCGAAAUGCGAUAAGUAAUGUGAAUUGCAGAAUUCAGUGAAUCAUCGAAUCUUUGAACGCACAUUGCGCUCGCCAGCAUUCUGGCGAGCAUGCCUGUUCGAGCGUCAUUUCAACCCUCAAGCACCGCUUGGUUUUGGGGCCCCACGGCCGACGUGGGCCCUUAAAGGUAGUGGCGGACCCUCCCGGAGCCUCCUUUGCGUAGUAACUAACGUCUCGCACUGGGAUCCGGAGGGACUCUUGCCGUUAAACCCCCAAAUUUUUUCAGGUUGACCUCGGAUCAGGUAGGACUACCCGCUGAACUUAAGCAUAUC
rnacentral:rRNA from 1 species